rnacentral:rRNA from 1 species
GACGAACGCUGGCGGCGUGCCUAAUACAUGCAAGUAGGACGCAGUUGCGAACGGGUGAGUAACGCGUAGGUAACUGCCUAUUAGAGGGGGAUAACUAUUGGAAACGAUAGCUAAUACCGCAUACUAGUAGAUGGACCUGCGUUGUAUUAGCUAGUAGGUAGGGUAAUGGCCUACCUAGGCGACGAUACAUAGCCGACCUGAGAGGGUGAUCGGCCAAACCUGGACUGGGACAAGGGCCAGAAUCCUACGGGAGGCAGCAGUAGGGAAUCUUCGGCAAUUGGGGGAACCCUGACCGAGCAAAGCCGCGUGAGGGAAGAAGGUUUUCGGAUCGGAAAGCUCUGUUGGUAAGGAAGCGGUACUUAACCAGAAAGGGAUGGCUAACUACGUGCCAGCAGCCGCGGUAAUAC